rnacentral:lncRNA from 1 species
GCUGGAACUCAGUGAGGGGGAGUAGGCAUGGGGACAAGGUCACAGCGUGGUCUGGUGGGUGGAUUGGGCAUGGUGGGGGGCAUAUGGGCCAUGUCCAGGGCUCUGGCUUUUCCUCUGAGUGUAAAGGGAGCCAUGGAAGGCUGGGAGCUGUGGAAAUUCAAAGGUCACCCCUGGGCUCUGGGAGGACCAUUGUCAGAGGCGAGGCCCAGGGAAAGGGAGCGGCUGGUUGGGAGGCUGGUGCUCUGGGCUGCACGCCCAGGGCUGGGACUGUCUGCUGGUCUGCCCCUCUCAGCAUCCUGCCCGGUCCUAUGGACCCACCUCCCAGGAUGCCGCCUGAGCCCGUCCCCCAGGCAAACCCCUUUGCCCACCCUUUCCAUAAACUGCCCGUCCCUCCGAGUUUCUCGGUCUCCCUUGCCCUCUUGCUGCCCAGUCCUGAGCUCUCCCCUCCAGCCCCAGGUCAGACGGAGGCCUAAGCCUGCCCCUGACCCCUCUUUCAGGGUCUCCUUCUCUACCUGCUGGCCUGAGAGCACCUUGUGGCUGGCAGCCAGAUCUGCCCCCUCCCAAUUCAGCCUUGCCCCAGCCAGUUGUAGGUCCUUUUGGUUGUGCCAUGUGGGAUGCCGCGUCAACAUGGCCUGAUCACUUUGGAAAACCUUUUGACAGUUUCCGCAAAAUUCAGACACACACCUACUGUAAGACCCAGCCGUCAUCUUCCCAGGGAUUCACCUGUCACAGAAGGAAGCAUUUGCUCAUGCAAAAGCUUUAUACGAGGCUUCUCCGCGCUCAGUGUGUGAUUGGCUGAACAAAUGAAUCCAUCUGAUUGGUCCAGCUGACUGGAGGCAGCUGCUGAUUGGUUCCUGCUGUGACUUGUCUGCGGCCACUACAGACAGCUGUCUGAUUGGUUGGCUGUGAU